UACGUAGGGAGCAAGCGUUGUUCGGAUUUAUUGGGCGUAAAGAGCGUGUAGGCGGCCAGGUAGGUCUGCUGUGAAAACUCGAGGCUCAACCUCGAGACGUCGGCGGAAACCAUCUGGCUAGAGUCCGGAAGAGGAGAGUGGAAUUCCUGGUGUAGCGGUGAAAUGCGCAGAUAUCAGGAAGAACACCCGUGGCGAAGGCGGCUCUCUGGGACGGUACUGACGCUGAGACGCGAAAGCGUGGGGAGCGAACGGG
rnacentral:rRNA from 1 species